rnacentral:hammerhead_ribozyme from 1 species
AUCCAGAUGACGAGUCCGAGAUAGGACGAAACGCGCAUCCUGGAU